UACAUCAAGAAAUCUUCAACUGUUCUUUUCUUUCUUAGAAGGACUAACAGCUCUCCAAGUAUUUCAAGUCCUUUUGCUCAGAUCAGUAAGGCCCGCAGGGAGAACCUAUUGAGGCUGCUGGGUUCUUCAGUGUCCUAAACCGGGAGCGUAAACACUGCAGAAAUCUGCACUUCCAGUGUUCCCUUUUUCAGGGACAGAGAAAAGGACAUGUCUGGUCAUCAGUGCAUGAGGUGAACAGCUGGACCCUCUGGUUCCAGUCACCAACAGCCAGUUGUGUUUUCUCCUCACUUGUGGAAACUAAAAAAGUGAAACCAAGCUGGGUUUUUGUUGUGGUGGUGGUGUUAAUUUGGUUUAUUGAAUUUUUUGUUCGUUUGUGGUUUUUUUAAUGCACAUCAGCUAUGGCUCACUCUGAUGAUCUUUAGUUGGCAAAGUUUUCACUGAAGUCCAUAAAAAGUCAAAUAAUAGAAGGAAGUCUCCAAAUACAGAUCCAUUGCCUUACUCCAGGGAGGUUCUUUUCCUGUUUUGCAGAAAUGUUUUCCUAUAGAUGUUCCUGACCUGUCUUGGGGGCACUGGACAAGGAGAUUGGACCUGUCACAUCUCAGGGGUAUUUCAUUUUACCCGAGCUGAUGGCAGAUCCUGUGUCCCCGAGUGUUUCACCCAGGACCUACAGAAAUCCACUUGUUGCUUCUGGGGGAGGAUGGGGGGAACCGGUGGGGAGCCAGGACUUCCAUCUGAGCUUUAACCCCCACAGAGCCAGUGCCCAGAGCUGCUGUGAUAAAGGAGGUUUGCAAGGCAAAGGUCUGUCCACAGAUAACGUCAUGUAAAUGCUUCCCUUGGCAGUGGAGGGCAAUUCCAUCAGCAGACACUGACUCCAGAGCACUUGGAACUCUCCUUUCCUCUCCAAUAUAAAAAUCAGAAGGGGGAAUCUGUGCUGGAGCAGUUUGGGAAGGAGUGCAGCCCAUUGGAAGGAGCCACGCCGGAGCAGUUUGCGAAAGGCUGUAUUCCUGGGGAACAGAUCCAUGCUGGAGAAAGGGAAGAGCACGAACAGGAAGGAGCAGCAGAGGCAAAGUGUUCUGAACUGACCCCCAGCCCCGUUCCCCAGCCCUGUGUGCCACUCAGUGGGGGAGGACAUAGAGGGAUGGGUAAUGAUGGAGUGAAGUGGAGCCUGGGAAGCAGGUGGGGGUGGUGGCUUAGAUGUGUCUCUUUUAACCAUCCCAAAUCUAUUUGACUUGGCAAUCAAUUAAGUUGUCACCUGGUAUUACUUUGGGUUUUUUUCAGUGCUUGUUCCUGACAGCAAAUGCUGAUGACGUUCCACCAAGCACGGGAUGUGGGGUAGGAUCUGCUGGAGGGGUGGCUGGUGCCACCAGGGCCCUGAGCUGUGGCUGCACAAGUGCUGGCAGGAGGCAGCAGGUGCCAGGGGAGGAGGACUUGGCCAUGGGCAGUGGCUGCUGCCACACUGCCAGGCCCUGUUGCCAAAACCUCUGCAGGCUCAUCACGUUCUGUAACGUGUUUUUUCUCUUGAAACUUUUUUUCUAUCCAAAUAAAAUCACUGAUGUUGCCCCCCGGCCUCCUCAGAGAUACAUACAAGGUCAUAGCCGUAGAGGGGAAAUAGUCUGUCCCUUGAGCCUUUCUGGGGAAGCAGCAGGUGCAAAAGACAUUUUCAUGCAACACAGUUAGAUUCAGGAGCUUAUUUCCAGGAUGUUAUAGAGGAGUAUCAAUAGAUUCCAAAAGAGACUUAAAGUCAUGGACACGUUCCAGCUUGCACUUCAAAUGGUCCUUUCUUCUGUCCAUACAGCAAGGAUGAAAUACUUUGAUAGUUGUGUGUCAUGAUCCUAAGCAGGCAGACCUGAAGCCUUUCUGAAGUGUUUAGGUAAGAGCUUCAAAUCUAGAGACUUCAGUAGUACACAGAAAUCACCCAUCCUUACCCAGAGCACCAGAAAAGCAUCUGUGAGGGUUUGUCUCAAAGCUUCAUCCCAUCUGUCUCUGGCAAGGGCUCAAGUUAAUGCCUUAACAGAAGUUAAGAAAGUGUGGGAACACAGGCCUCUUCUGAGUACUUUCCCAGCUUCCAACAAUUUUUACAGCACAGGGAGCUCCUGAGCCAGGUUUGGUUUAAAUAAAUGCAUUUUAUUUAAAUGAUAUAAAAUCAAUGGUAAAAUUAAACCACCUAGACCGAUUAGGUGGGCUGCUGUUACACCAGCCUCUGACAGGUGACUUCUCCAUCCAAAGGCAACUCCCAGUGAGGGCUGUGAGCACCCAGAGGUGCCUCUGGGUGUAGUGGCUGAACAGCCGGUUUUAGAAACCCUGGUGGUUUCACAACAAACAUGUUUAUCCCUCUCUACAACUCCUCCAUGCACACACGUUUGCAACAAGCAGCAGGCCCUGUUCAGUGCAGGGCAGAUCUGGAAAACAGCCAGCUCUGAACUGCCUGAUUAUUUUCCCGUUUCCCUUUAUACACUGCAACUCCAAAUAGUGAUACAGAUUUCUUCACUCUCUAGUGCUUUCAUUUCUGAAGAUGCCCAGUAACUUGGCAGCUGCUCCCAAAGGGCACAGCAAGGUCCUGCUGCAGGGUUUUCACACUGCUAAGAGGCAGUAAAGGAACCAGAAGUGAACCGUGUUUCCCCUGGUGUCUUGGAAAGGGUGUCACAAACUUACUGACAGUUUCAUUCACAAUUUAUUUAAGAACAUGACUCCAGGAUGCAAACAGAAUCAUGAUGCCAGUCAGUAUCUGGGAGAUGACUUGGAGUCAGGCAAGAACUCUUUCGGUGAUCUAAUUCUUUUUGACCCUUACAGCGAUCAUCUUCAGAAUGUUAUGAAACACUGGAACUCUCGAGUUUUUACUCCAGGCUUGGGCUGCCCUCGGCGGGCAGGGGGCUGUGCACUGCAGGCACAGCUGCGGGCAGGGGCGGCUGCCGACACCCGUCCCGCAGGGAAGCGCUGGGAAAAGCAGCUCCCAGAGCACGGAGCGGUGCAGGGGCUGGGUCUGUUCCAGAUUGCAGAAGGCACCUGAACGAAAUGCAGUUAAUUUCAGCUGCCGCUCCCCAGGGGUCGGCACGGCCGGGCCGGGGGUCCCGGCUGCCCCCGCACACCCCGCGGCCGGGGGGCUCCGGGAGGGGCUGCUCGGGGAGAGACCCCCCCCCAGCAGCACAGCCAGACAAACCAGCACCUCCCUGGCGCCAUCGGCCCAGCCCGGGGGGGAGAAAACAAUGAGCGAUCAAACCAACGAGCCCCUCGGGACUUUGGGGCAGCCGGUUCCCGGGCACCGAGCGCUGCAAACGAGCCCUUUGCUGAGGGCUCUGCAAGACCCCGCAGAGCUCCCGGCGCGGGCGUUAAACGGCAGCUCGCGUUUCUCUGCAGCCCGGCUGACAUCAGGCUGCACUUUUUGAGGCACUUCGUGAGGAUCGUGUACAGGAUGGCCAGGUUUUGUUUUGUGCACACUUGAUCAAACGUCGCAGAACCUAUGAAGCAGGUUCUGACCCUUUUCCUGCUGAUGGCAAUAAACCUAUCAGGAAACCUCGGCGAGCUCUUUUUCUGCAGCUACACUCACCUAAUGAGGUAAGCCUGGCGGGGUAAAACAAAAGGCACUGCAGAUGCCUAGGUUUAUUCUCAGAAAUAGGGUGUUGCCUUUGAGCUGAAACCUGCAAACAGGAACGGCUGCGGGGGGCGAGGCUGUGAGAAUAGGUGACAAGCGGGGUACGACUGCCUUUGGACCUCAAGUGAAGCGCUGGAGGGUUCUUUCUGCCACCGGAUUUUACGGAUUGUACUUUGGCGACCCAGACGGGACCGCGCUCCUGCACCUCGAGGGAUCCGGGGAAUCGCAGCAUCUCCAGCCGGCAGCGAGGGAUUUUCGGGAAGAAUCUCUGACCCCUGAACCGAAGAGCUCGGAGCAAGUUCCCUGUCUUCACUAACGGGCUUGACACAAGUGCGAGUGAUUGGUGGCACGUGAAGGCUGAGGAUUCGUUCUGCUGCUGGUGCCUGUUCAGCUGCUGUUUUCCGUUGCCUGAGAAAAGGCGAGGAGAGCUGCGUUCCUGCAGAGGCCACUGCAGAGAACCUUUGACAAAAAUCUGAUUUCCAAGACAUUAUGGGCAAGCGAAAAGGAAGUGGGCUUUUCUACAGGUCUAUUUUAUCUGGAUUGCAUGAGUUAAUGUCUUUCAAAAUUAAGCAUAACUAUUUGCUUUCAGUUACUGAGAUUGUCUACUGCCUCUAGGCUUUGAAUCUGGGACCCAUCAGAGUUUUCACUCAAAUUGCUGUAUAGCAUAGAUAAAUUCAGAAAAUUAAGCAGGUGCUUAAAUGAGGCAAAUAAGCAGGCCUAGUAAUUGCUCUCUUUGGUUUAAGCCAAAGACUUUUUCAUACUUUAUGUGCUUCCUCCUGUGAGCCACAAUGCAAAGAUUUCA